rnacentral:lncRNA from 1 species
CGCCUACUUUCACAGAAAAUACUUUAAAAUAACCACCAAUAAAAUCCUCACUAAGAAUCCAGAUGAGUGGCCAAAUGAGCCUCUGUGUUUCACGAUGACCUGUUUUAGGAAUUUGUCAUCUCCUUUGAAUUCCGCCUGGACGAAUUCUUCUUUUACCUUGGCUUUAACUUUUCAGUUAACUAUAAAAAAUAUGGUGUGAUGUUAUUGAUGCAGACACACUAUUUUAGUGGUUUCAAACCUUUUUAUAUUUUUCAAACAAAAAAAAGACUUAGAACCUUAAAUGAAAUAAGUAAAAUUGGUUCUGCGUUGGCUGCAGUAGUGGGUGAAAGGCUCAGAGUCCGCACUCCUACCCUCCCCGCCUGGUCCUCCAAGAUGAGGUAGCUUCCUUUGCUCAGGAAGCAGAACCCUAAAGCUUUGAGGAGCACAAUUUGAAAACCAUGGCUCCAUAGCACUUGCCACUUAUGAUUGCCUUUGGGGCCUGCUUUCCUCUUUGUGGGAGUCAGAAAUGAAUCAAAGACCAUGAGAGGCUGCCGGAGAGCA